rnacentral:misc_RNA from 1 species
GUAGGUGAACCUGCGGAAGGAUCAUUAAAAAUAAUCUGGGGGUAGGAUCCAGUGGGCUGUAGCGCUUCUGCGUUAUGGUUCACUGCGCUCCUGCCCUGUCUGACUUAUUUAUACCCUUGAUUUUGCGUACCGUUGUUUCCUCGGCAGGCUUGCCUGUCGCUAGGACAUUUUUAAACCCUUUGUAAUUGCAAUCAGCGUCAGAAACUUAUAAUAGUUACAACUUUCAACAACGGAUCUCUUGGUUCUG